AUUGAACGCUGGCGGCAGGCUUAACACAUGCAAGUCGAGCGGAGAGAGGUAGCUUGCUACUGAUCUUAGCGGCGGACGGGUGAGUAAUGCUUAGGAAUCUGCCUAUUAGUGGGGGACAACAUUUCGAAAGGAAUGCUAAUACCGCAUACGUCCUCCGGGAGAAAGCAGGGGAUCUUCGGACCUUGCGCUAAUAGAUGAGCCUAAGUCGGAUUUGCUAGUUGGUGGGGUAAAGGCCUACCAAGGCGACGAUCUGUAGCGGGUCUGAGAGGAUGAUCCGCCAAACUGGGACUGAGACACGGCCCAGACUCCUACGGGAGGCAGCAGUGGGGAAUAUUGGACAAUGGGCGGAAGCCUGAUCCAGCCAUGCCGCGUGUGUGAAGAAGGCCUUAUGGUUGUAAAGCACUUUAAGCGAGGAGGAGGCUACUUUAGUUAAUACCUAGAGAUAGUGGACGUUACUCGCAGAAUAAGCACCGGCUAACUCUGUGCCAGCAGCCGCGGUAA
rnacentral:rRNA from 1 species